CCUACGGGUGGCAGCAGUCGAGAAUCAUUCACAAUGGGGGAAACCCUGAUGGUGCGACGCCGCGUGGGGGAAUGAAGGUCUUCGGAUUGUAAACCCCUGUCAUGUGGGAGCAAAUUAAAAAGAUAGUACCACAAGAGGAAGAGACGGCUAACUCGGUGCCAGUAGCAGCGGUAAUACAGAGGCCUCAAGCGUUGUUCGGAUGCACUGGGCGUAAAGUGUGCGUAGGCGGGGUCGUAAGUCGGGUGUGAAAGGUGCGGGCUCAACCCGCGGACUGCACAUGAUACUGCGAGACUAGAGUAAUGGAGGGGGAACCGGAAUUCGCGGUGUAGCAGUGAAAUGCGUAGAUAUCGAGAAGAACACUCGUGGCGAAGGCAGGUUCCUGGACAUUAACUGACGCUGAGGCACGAAGGCCAGGGUAGCGAAAGGGAUUAGAUACCCGAGUAGUC
rnacentral:rRNA from 1 species